rnacentral:rRNA from 1 species
UAAAGAAGAACAGGAUGAGGGUAACUGUUCAUCCCUUGACUGUAUCUAACCAGAAAGCCAGGGCUAACUACGUGCCAGCAGCCGCGGUAAUAAGUAGGUGGCAAGCGUUGUCCUGAUUUAUUGGGCGUAAAGCGAGCGCAGGCGGUUUCUUAAGUCUGAUGUGACAGCCCCCGGCUCAACCGGGGAGUGUCAUUGGAAACUGGGAGACUUGAGUGCAGAAGAGGAGAGUGGAAUUCCAUGUGUAGCGGUGAAAUGCGUAGAUAUAUGGAGGAACACCAGUGGCGAAGGCGGCUCUCUGGUCUGUAACUGACGCUGAGGCUCGAAAGCGUGGGGAGCAAACAGGAUUAGAUACCCUGGUAGUCCACGCCGUAAACGAUGAGUGCUAAGUGUUGGAGGGUUUCCGCCCUUCAGUGCUGCAGCUAACGCAUUAAGCACUCCGCCUGGGGAGUACGACCGCAAGGUUGAAACUCAAAGGAAUUGACGGGGGCCCGCACAAGCGGUGGAGCAUGUGGUUUAAUUCGAAGCAACGCGAAGAACCUUACCAGGUCUUGACAUCCUUUGACCACUCUAGAGAUAGAGCUUCCCCUUCGGGGGCAAAGUGACAGGUGGUGCAUGGUUGUCGUCAGCUCGUGUCGUGAGAUGUUGGGUUAAGUCCCGCAACGAGCGCAACCCUUAUUGUUAGUUGCCAUCAUUCAGUUGGGCACUCUAGCAAGACUGCCGGUGACAAACCGGAGGAAGGUGGGGAUGACGUCAAAUCAUCAUGCCCCUUAUGACCUGGGCUACACACGUGCUACAAUGGGAAGUACAACGAGUUGCGAAGUCGCGAGGCUAAGCUAAUCUCUUAAAGCUUCUCUCAGUUCGGAUUGCAGGCUGCAACUCGCCUGCAUGAAGCCGGAAUCGCUAGUAAUCGCGGAUCAGCACGCCGCGGUGAAUACGUUCCCGGGCCUUGUACACACCGCCCGUCACACCACGAGAGUUUGUAACACCCGAAGUCGGUGAGGUAACCUUUUGGAGCCAGCC